AAGAUUUUAAGUUAUUUAAACUAUCAACCUUCAAAGUUAAUAAAACCAACUUUUAUGGUAAGUCUUA
rnacentral:tRNA from 1 species